rnacentral:rRNA from 1 species
AUUGAACGCUGGCGGCAGGCCUAACACAUGCAAGUCGAACGAGUGGCGGACGGGUGAGUAAUGUCUGGGAAACUGCAUGAUGGAGGGGGAUAACUACUGGCAACGGUAGCUAAUACCGCAUACCAUCAGAAGUUCCCAGAUUGGAUUAGCUGGUUGGUGGGGGAACGGCUCACCAAGGCGACGAUCCCUAGCUGGUCUGAGAGGAUGACCAGCCACACUGGAACUGAGACACGGUCCAGCGUCCGACGGGAGGCAGCAGUGGGGAAUAUUGCACCAUGGGCGCAAGCCUGAUGCAGCCAUGCCGCGUGUAUGAAGAAGGCCUUCGGGUUGUAAAGUACUUUCAGCGGGGAGGCGUUACCCGCAGAAGAAGCACCGGCUAACUCCGUGCCAGCAGCCGCGGUAAUUC